GUAUUCAUUUUCUUCUUUCUCUAGUCUUCUGGUCUUUUCGGAGCUCCCAGCCAUGGAAAGGAGCAAAAGGCUGAGCCAGAUUAGAUCCACUCCAUCUCAAGACAAGCCCGAGUCUCCCCUCGGUUUGCUACUUUGUGGUCCUCACCUCCACACGCACCUCGUGGCUGGGAUGAUGCUUGGAUCCCGGCCGGUGAACACGUAGCAGGGCCCUAAUAGCAGCUGCAUGAUGGAGAACGCGAGGUCGUCGAACUCGACGAUGCCUUUCCCGUCAGCGUCCAUGGAGGCGAUGGAGUGGAUCUCGUUCCCUUAGCUCCUGCGCAAUUUUGGGGAUCCUGGGAGGGUUAUCCGUCCCCAACCGUCGAGCUGCAGGCGUCGUUGCUGUUCCCAAGCGAGGCACCUGACGCAUCUUCUUCAUCCUCUACAGUAGCAGCCCGGCUUUGGCGUUGCAUUCUUCCACCUGCAAUAUACUUUAAGGUACUUCUUGUUAGUGACAAAUGUUACCGUUUCUGUUUUUUGUACUAUCAUGCAUACUUGGUGUGAUUUCCAUCCAGAUUGACUUCUUGUCCAUGUACCAAAUGAAGAUAGUAAGUUUGGACGCCUAACGCCGCUUAAUGCAAAAUUUUAAUCAGUUUAUGUCCCCUCCACUUUUUUCGGGCUUGGGACUGGAAUAGGUAGUGUUCGACCCCCUACACCCAUUAAUUUUCAGCAAAUUAAGGAAAUAAUUAUUGUCUUUAUGUUUUAGUAAUUGAAUAGUAAAACUAGGUCUGAUUGCUACAUAUAAUAGACAAUGAUGCUAGGAUCCUCUCACCAUUGAAUUGUACUUUGUAAUAAGCUUGAAAUAUCAGAUGAUAUAGAGUGUUGAUGCUUGGCAUUCUUGAACUAUUUCCGUCAAAUGUUGAUGCAUGUUUCCAGUAAUUAUGCAGAGUAGUAGACCAUAUCCGUCCUAUCAUAUCUUGUUAGCAUAGAUAAUUCAGUUAUUAUUUUGAAGAUAGUUUGCAGUGUACUAUUUUUUCAGGUAUUUAUGGAUAUAUAAAAGGCCGGUAGCAUCCGUCUAGUUCACGGCGACGGACAUGGCCUCUGCACCGGCGAACAUUCAAGCCAAUACCCAUCUAGUUCAUAUGCAUGCAAGUAGAGCCACAUUUAAUAAAUCUUUGUUUCUGUCUGACCAAAUCCUUUGGUUUGUAUUGAUCAGUGUAUACAUGUCCUUGCCCUGAGUGCAUGUACCACUCUUAUAUUGUAAAUUCCCAAAGAGACAAUUGAUGACGGCACCUUAGAUUACAAAUUGAUAAUGUACAAUUAGUUAAGUGAAAUCGGUUCUGGCUCUCCAUGUUUCAUGGGGUGAAGCACAAUAUGUGUAAAGCCCUAUCGAGUUUUACCAUCUGAGCCACUUAGUACUGCGAUACAGUGGAGAUUCCAGCAAUCCUACAGUCCGUGGAUACUGCUAUUCAGUAGGUUAAUAGCGUGCCCCCCUUUUUAAAAAACCAUUUUAUUUGUUUUUAGUAACUUUAUUCCUUUUUGUAAUAUAUUUUGAGCUCUUCUUUAGAUAGCUAAUUCUUUGGUCUCAUUUAUUUGCUGUUUCUAUGAGUGUUUGUCCUCAUAUUUAGGUGAAAAUCCGAGUUGAAGAGGCGUGGGUCUAUCAUAAGGACCUGGUGAUUUUCAGGAAUGGAUAUGCGGAUCAUACAUGUUACGAAUCUACAUAACCUACCGAAUGCAUAUGUGGCAUUGUAGCACCAAGCUGUUGGUGCAUGUCCGUUCAAACAUAAAAAAAAGAACCUUCUUUCUUAGCUGAGAAUACCUCGUCAUUGGUACCAUCAAUGCUAAAAUGGUCAUGAUUUUUGUCAUGUCCUGCCAGUAAGGUAAGGUAGAAUACCAUAUAGUUUAAAAUAUAAAAUUGGACAUUUGUUUUUCUUAAAACAAAAAUUUAAAGUUUUGACAUGUGUAAAUUAUUUUUGCAGGUACAUGCAUUUAUUGGGUCCAAUAAUCACCCUGGUUAUCGAUAAACGAUUAGAAACAUUGGAUUUGGGGUAUUGCAAAAAUAGUUUAAAGUUCUCACCUUUGAUACUUGAAUAAAAUUGGAAGUGACAGUCAUGAUUGUUUUUUGUGCCAAACUUCCAUUUACCAUAUUUGCUAAAAUAUAUCCCCGUAGAGUGAUCCCUACCUUCUCACCACUGAAAGAAUUUGACCAUGUAAAAGUAAUGUAAAAAGUCAUACAUAAUUCUGAAAUUGCUUACAUAAUUGAAAUAACUUACAAUAGCAAAAGGACGUGCAUCUCGCAGAUGUUUGAAGUUUGCUCUCUGCUUGUCCGUCUGUUCUUCUGUACUUCCUCAAUUGGUUUCAUCAUGGUGAUACAUGCUGGAGAUAAUUUGAUGCACAUAUUACUUACUGGAGGUGGUGUGAUUGCUUGACGGAGCCGAUAACAGUCGAGGAGAGUCAACAGAGGAAACUGGGGCACUUGCAACUAUUGGAGGAAGGUGAUGUCCAAGUGCCGAUCGCUGGAGGAAGACGAUGACGAAGGUGGGCUCUGAAGGUGGGAUCCGACUUGUGGGGCGUGCUGAAACUGACUUGAUGCUAGCUUGUCAGCUAGUUUCAUCGCCCUGGCACCAUUGCUAACGUGAUUGCCAGAGUUCAUAAAUCACAACAUUACCUUCUCGCGGUAUCGCCUCGCCCUGAUUGCUCAAGGUAGUAGCCGCCUGCCUGGGACAACAAAUCAAUCUAAAGUUAGACUUUGUUCCCUUGGUGUUUUGGCAGCAAAAUAUCAUCAACCUCUUGGUUGUGAUGCUUUAAUUGUAAGUUACACUGCAAUUGGCUGCUUCCGCCCUGGCACCAUUUUUUUUUCCUUCUGUGUUUUCUCUUUUUUUCUUUUGGGCGUGCCUGUGCUGCUUCCGCCCCAGCACCUAUCGUGGGUUGUAUCGAUGUUGUUGCUUUGUAAUACAAAGCGGGGGGAAACCCUUUUUCGGCAAUUGUAAGUUACACUGCAUAUGUAGAGGCAACCUUCCAUUAUUAAUCUAUAAUUAUAAUAGUAACUUUGCACAUA